rnacentral:rRNA from 1 species
AUUGAACGCUGGCGGCAGGCCUAACACAUGCACGUCGAGCGAGCGGAGGACGGGUGAGUAAUGUAUGGGGACUGCCCGAUAGCGGGGGAUAACUACUGGAAACGGUGGCUAAUACCGCAUAUUGUCGGAUAACACAAAUGGGAGUAGCUAGUAGGUAAGGUAAUGGCUGACCUAGGCUACGAUCCCUAGCUGGUCUGAGAGGAUGAUCAGCCACACUGGGACUGAGACACGGCCCAGACUCCUACGGAGGCAGCAGUGGGGAAUAUUGCACAAUGGGCGAAAGCCUGAUGCAGCCAUGCCGCGUGUAUGAGGAAGGCCCUAGGGUUGUAAAGUACUUUCAGUCGGGAGGCGUUACCGACAGAAGAAGCACCGGCUAACUCCGUGCCAGCCGCCGCGGUAAUUC